GGCUUAACACAUGCAAGUCGAGCGGAUGAAGGUAGCUUGCUACUGGAUUCAGCGGCGGACGGGUGAGUAAUGCUUAGGAAUCUGCCCAUUAAUGGGGGACAACAGUUGGAAACGACUGCUAAUACCGCAUACGCCCUACGGGGGAAAGCAGGGGAUCUUCGGACCUUGCGUUAAUGGAUGAGCCUAAGUCGGAUUAGCUAGUUGGUGGGGUAAAGGCCUACCAAGGCGACGAUCUGUAGCGGGUCUGAGAGGAUGAUCCGCCACACUGGGACUGAGACACGGCCCAGACUCCUACGGGAGGCAGCAGUGGGGAAUAUUGGACAAUGGGCGAAAGCCUGAUCCAGCCAUGCCGCGUGUGUGAAGAAGGCCUUUUGGUUGUAAAGCACUUUAAGUGGGGAGGAGGCUACCAAGAUUAAUACUCUUGGAUAGUGGACGUUACCCACAGAAUAAGCACCGGCUAACUCUGUGCCAGCAGCCGCGGUAAUACAGAGGGUGCGAGCGUUAAUCGGAUUUACUGGGCGUAAAGCGUGCGUAGGCGGCUUUUUAAGUCGGAUGUGAAAUCCCUGAGCUUAACUUAGGAAUUGCAUUCGAUACUGGAAAGCUAGAGUAUGGGAGAGGAUGGUAGAAUUCCAGGUGUAGCGGUGAAAUGCGUAGAGAUCUGGAGGAAUACCGAUGGCGAAGGCAGCCAUCUGGCCUAAUACUGACGCUGAGGUACGAAAGCAUGGGGAGCAAACAGGAUUAGAUACCCUGGUAGUCCAUGCCGUAAACGAUGUCUACUAGCCGUUGGGGCCUUUGAGGCUUUAGUGGCGCAGCUAACGCGAUAAGUAGACCGCCUGGGGAGUACGGUCGCAAGACUAAAACUCAAAUGAAUUGACGG
rnacentral:rRNA from 1 species